AUCUUCUGGCCCUAUAGAUGAGCCCCGGCCAUCUGGAGCAGCCUGGAGCAGGGCCAGGCCUGCCUUGCUGGAUAUGAACAGGGCCCCAGGGAUCGAGACCCUGGCGCUGGCAGCAAGGGGCAGUGCUGGAGAAGCACCGUUUAAAACAGAUAGAGCCAGUCGACAGUCUGGAAAAUUCUGCUGAUCAUCGGAUUGUGUAAAGUUGUGGAAGCUUUGGUUCUCAUCAACGCAUACUCAAAACGCAAGCUAUUUCCCGUCAGGGAGAUACUUAAGACAGCGACAGGCUUAGCUAUAAAAGCACCAUUAAUUUGUUCUCUCUUCUGAUGACAGUCCUAUGAAAUAAAUCUAUCAGAGGUCCUGC
rnacentral:lncRNA from 1 species